rnacentral:rRNA from 1 species
AUACAGAGGGUGCGAGCGUUAAUCGGAAUUACUGGGCGUAAAGCGUACGUCGGCGGUUGGUUAAGUUAGAUGUGAAAGCCCCGGGCUUAACCUGGGAACUGCAUUUAAAACUGGCGAACUAGAGUUGAGUAGAGGGGAGUGGAAUUUCAGGUGUAGCGGUGAAAUGCGUAGAGAUCUGAAGGAACACCAGUGGCGAAGGCGACUCCCUGGACUCGAACUGACGCUGAGGUACGAAAGCGUGGGUAGCAAACGGGAUUAGAUACCCUAGUAGUCC